GAUUGGUGGAGAUAAUGAGGGGGCUGGGACAUUCACGAGAAAGAGAGUCCAUUCUGUCACUCAAGGCUUCUCUGUCAAAUGGCACAUCCUGCUCUCUGCUACCGCGGAUAUUUGAAAAAUCCAUUGGAUUUACUAAUAUUUUCAUCAUGGACUUGUAGCUACAGUUUUCAAUAACAUUGUUGUCCUGAAUACAGCUGCUGGUAUCGACACAGCUCUGUCUUCUGUGGCUAAAGCAGUCUGGACUGGUUGAAGCAGAGUGGGAAGGAUUAUUCUGAAAGUGUUUCAGUCUGCUGUGAAUCAUCGUAAUGCCUACACCGGUAGAGUCUACUGUUAAAAUUCCAACGUAGCUACAUGUACGUACGUUAUUGUCUCAACUGUAUCAAAAAGUUGUUUUCAUUGCUAGCUAUUAUUAGCUGUAUAGCUAGCUAACUAGCUAGACAUUUGCAUACAGGCACCGUUAUAGCUUGCUUCGUCCCGCAACGAGCUUUUGUUUACGAAGCAACGUUAACCCAUAUAGUACAAGGAGAUUAUCAAGGGUCAACAUGCAACACGUCAGCUUUAAUUGUCUGGAGCCUGGUGUUGUUGUGGCCAAGGAGCUUUCACUCAGAUGGAACCAGGUUUCAGCUGCUGUGCAAUGUUGAGGUCCUUCCUCUCAGAGAUGUGAAAGCAUCCCCCGGACUGGACACAACCCGGCAAACAUAUAUUUUUGAGAAGAUCAGGAUUUUUGCAAUGAAAAGGCCAUGGACAUUAGGCAUGACAAAGGGCAUGACAGAAAUAUGCUCUCAGCCUAGAUUCCUUUGUUCAUAACAUGACCUGAACCAAAGUUAUUCUAAGGAAUUUAUGAUAUAGACCUAGGUCUAGAUAUUGUUUUUACCUAAGCAUUUGUGUUAUUGUGUUUGUUUUUCCUAAUUGUAGGCUACUACCUUUAACACUUGAAAUUA